GCUAGCGGCGGACGGGUGAGUAACACGUGGGCAACCUGCCUCAUAGAGGGGAAUAGCCUUCCGAAAGGAAGAUUAAUACCGCAUAAGAUUGUAGCUUCGCAUGAAGUAGCAAUUAAAGGAGCAAUCCGCUAUGAGAUGGGCCCGCGGCGCAUUAGCUAGUUGGUGAGGUAACGGCUCACCAAGGCGACGAUGCGUAGCCGACCUGAGAGGGUGAUCGGCCACAUUGGGACUGAGACACGGCCCAGACUCCUACGGGAGGCAGCAGUGGGGAAUAUUGCACAAUGGGGGAAACCCUGAUGCAGCAACGCCGCGUGAGUGAUGACGGCCUUCGGGUUGUAAAGCUCUGUCUUCAGGGACGAUAAUGACGGUACCUGAGGAGGAAGCCACGGCUAACUACGUGCCAGCAGCCGCGGUAAUACGUAGGUGGCGAGCGUUGUCCGGA
rnacentral:rRNA from 1 species